AGGACGAACGCUGGCGGCGUGCUUAACACAUGCAAGUCGAGCGGGAACCUCGGGAGGGUAACCUUCCGAGGGAGAGCGGCGAACGGGUGAGUAACACGUGGGCAACCUGCCCCGGACACCGGGAUAACCCAGGGAAACCUGAGCUAAUACCGGAUACUCCGGCACGAUCGCAUGAUCGUUCCGGGAAAGCUCCGACGGUCCGGGAUGGGCCCGCGGCCUAUCAGCUUGUUGGUGAGGUAACGGCCCACCAAGGCGACGACGGGUAGCUGGUCUGAGAGGACGGCCAGCCACACUGGGACUGAGACACGGCCCAGACUCCUACGGAGGCAGCAGUGGGAAUCGUGCGCUAAUGCGCGAAAGCGUGACGCAGCGACGCCGCGUGGGGAUGAAGGCUUCGGCGUAAACCCUUCGCCAGGGAAGAAGGAACUGACGGUACCUGGAGAAGAGUCCCGGAUAACCUACGUGACCGAGCCGAGCCGC
rnacentral:rRNA from 1 species